UUUUUAGUGUAAAUAUGUCCCCAAACUGCAGAGGACAUAUUUAUACUAAAA
rnacentral:miRNA from 1 species